ensembl:lncRNA
AUGGUGUCCGGAUAUAACAUCCAAGAGGUGAUAGUGUUUCUUGUUAUCAGGGCAGAUCUGUGGGGGGGGAGAACAGAAGGCUAUUACAACCUGCCAGAUGGGCUCCCAGGAGCCCAUCCAAGUGGACUUUGCAUGAGCAGAUAUAGGAUUUCAGUAAUAAAGGGAAGGACUGCUUGAUUCUCCUCGGGACUCUGGGUAUACAAGGCACCAGCUCAAGGUAACAUUUUUUUUUCCUGGUAAUGGGCUGAAACUUUGUAUCUUCAUCCAUAAUAAGCAGACAUUAUUUUGAAGAUAUGGUCUUCAAGCAGACGGAUCUGGAUCUCACAUCAUUUAUGAGACCUGAGUUUAGCUCUUCAGGCUCCUUUCUGUCUAGAUAGACAUGAAAUUCUUUUUUUUUUUAAUAUUUAUUUAUUUAUUUUGAGAGAGAGAGAGAGACCAAGAGUAAGCAAGUAGGGGAGGGGCAGAGAGAGAGGGAGAGAGAGAGACAGAGGCAGAGAGAAAGAGAGAUAAAGAAUCCCAAGCAAACUCCACGCUGUCAGCACAGAGCCUGACAUGGGCCUUGAUCUCAUGAACCGUGAGAUCAUGACCUGAGCUGAGAUCAGGAGUUGGACACUCAACCGACUGAACCACCCAGGUGCCCUGAUAGACACAAAAUUCUUAAGGAUAGGUAUAUACCCACAAGAAUUGAAAACAUAUGAUUAGUCAAAAACUUGUAUGCAAAUGUUCAUAGCAUCUUUAUUCAUAACAGCUCAAAAGAGGAAACAACCCAAAUAUACAUCAACUGAUGAGUAGAGAAACAAAAUGUGGUAUACCCAUAUAGCAGAAUAUUAUUUGACCAUAGAAGGGAUAAGGCCUGCCCAUAUCCUUUAUAUCCUGUAGAGAUUCUCAUAUCAUUUUCUAUUUUGACCUUGAUUCUAGGCCUUUGAUUUUUUUUUUUUUUUUUACCAAGACUUCUCUAAUGCAGCCUUGCCAAAGUGAGGAUGUGUUAGGUCUAGAGAAAUUUGGAUGAGACAAUUGGAAUGGGGAACUAUUAAUAACUAGCCAUGAUAAGAAAAAUCAGACAACUUCAUUGGAAGGAGUAAGAAGGGGACUCUGAACUCCCAUUGCAUCAUCACUAGAACACUCACUGCCUCAGCCCCACUAUCUUGGGAUCAUCAGGAUUCACCCAUAAUGCUCUCUGACAGGCCAAAUUUGCACACAAGUCCAAAUUCCCAGGUCAUCCCCCACAUUCUGUAUAUACUUUGAUUUUGCCCCAUCUCCCAUCUUCCUACUUCCCAGUGUAACUUCAGGAAUUCAUUGGUCAUUAUCAACAAUGUCAUCUGUACUGUCAAAAACUUUUCUCUCUGUCCCUUUCCACCCACCCCCACCUCCAACUCUAACUGUGACCUGGCACUCCCCUGAGAAACAGCAACUCUGAAAGUCAUGUGAAGAGAUGAUACCCACAUCCCCUCCUGGGUACAGUCUUCACCAGACCCAAGUGACUUCCCAUCAUUUACUGAGGAUUUUAGUUCCUGACCUAUUCUCUCCAUCACUAUGCCUAACCUAACUUUGGUGAUUUCAACAUCUGCAUAGAUAAUCCUUCCAGUGUCCUGUCUCUCGGUUCUUUGAUCUCUUCUACUCCAACGAUCUUGUAUCUCAGCUACCUACUGCCAUGGUCAUACCCUAGACCUUGCCAUACUCCGCAUUUGCACCCCUGCACAAAUCUUAAUUGUAUACAUUCUCUCCCUGAUCAUCACCUCCCAUCUUUCCAACUCACUCUUUCUGAUAACCAACAUCAAUGGUUCUUCAGCUCCAUCCAGAUGGGGACUGGUCCAAUAAACCAAAAUCUGCCCAGAAAAGUACA